GAUGAAGAACGUAGCGAAAUGCGAUACGUAAUGUGAAUUGCAGAAUUCAGUGAAUCAUCGAAUCUUUGAACGCAUAUUGCGCUCUCUGGUAUUCCGGAGAGCAUGCUUGUUUGAGUAUCAGUAAACACCUCAACUUCCAUAUCUUUUUUGAAAUGGGAGUUGGACUUGAGUGAUCCCAACGCUUUUCCUCACCGAAAAGUGGCGGGUUACUUGAAAUGCAGGUGCAGCUGGACUUUUCUCUGAGCUAUAAGCAUAUCUAUUUAGUCUGCCUAAAAAACAGAUUAUUACCUUUGCUGCAGCUAACAUAAUGGAGAUUAGUUCUUGUGCUGACUGAUGCAGGAUUCACAAAGACAGGCUUCGGCCGACUUUGUAAACUCGAUCUCAAAUCAAGUAAGACUACCCGCUGAACUUAAGCAUAUCAAUAAGCGGAGGA
rnacentral:misc_RNA from 1 species